rnacentral:lncRNA from 12 species
UGUUUUAAUGCAGGGACUGUGAGGGCACAGUAACCACACCACACACACCAGAGUUACAUCUUUUUUUUCUUUGUUUUAUUUAUUGAGAGGAGGGGAUGCCAGUGGGGUCAGGCAGCUGGGAAUCUGCCCCCAAAGCCACUGUGGUGCCUCCUCUUCCCCAGGUGCUCCCUUUCCAGCUCCUAUUUCCCCUUCCAGGGGUUUGGGAUGCAGCAGGAGUACUUGCAGUCAGCAGAGGUGUACUUCAAAUCCAGCACGUUGCACUUUGGGGAGCAGUACCCCACAGGAGCACAGGUCUUCCUGAUCUUCCCAUGGGCUGGAAGAGGGGAGGGAGAGAGGUUGUUCCUCAUUUCUGUUCCCCAUUUCCCCAUUUCUCUAUCUCUAUUCCCCAAUUCCCCAUCUCUGUUCCCCAUUUCCCCAUCUCUGUUCCCCAUUUCCCCAUUUCCCAUUUCUCCAUCUCUGUUCCCCAUUCAUCAAUCUCUGUUCCCCAUUCAUCAAUCUCUGUUUCCCAUUCCCCCAUCUCUGUUCCCCAUUCCCCCAUCUCUGUUCCCCAUUUCCCCAUCCCUAUUCCCCAUUUCCAUGCCCCCCAUCCCCUCCCAGUCACAGUGGGCAGCAGGAUCAGUCCCUGUCCUUAGGGAUGUCCUGCUCCAUCCCCCACAUGUCCAACACUCCUUCCCAAGCCCAACCCCAAAGCUGGAAGGGACUUUGAAGGGCCCAGAGCAGUUCCUUGUGCACCUCUCUCCCCCUUCUGGUGGCUACAGGGCCACUGGAUGACCCUGGUGCACUUUGGGAAAGAUGGGACAGCAUCUCAAAACACCCCAAAACCAAAAUUCAUAAAAUAUGU